rnacentral:rRNA from 1 species
GACGAACGCUGGCGGCGUGCUUAACACAUGCAAGUCGAACGGAAAGGCCCUGCCUUUGUGGGGUGCUCGAGUGGCGAACGGGUGAGUAGCACGUGAGUAACCUGCCCUUCACUUUGAGGUAAGUUCAGGUAGGUGUGGUUAAUACCGGGUACGAGCUCCUGCUGCAUGGGGGGGGUGGGAAUGUGUCGGCGGUUGGGGAUGCACUCGGGGCUUAUCAUGUUGUUGGUGGGGUAUUGGCUGACCACGGCGUUGAGGGGUAGCGGGCCUGGGAGGGUGACCGGCCAAAUGGGGAUGGAGAUACGCCCCGGACUCCAACGGGAGGAAGCAGUGGGGAAAAUGCCACAAUGGGCGGAAGCCUAAUGAAGCAACGCCGGGUGCGGGAUGACGGCCUCCGGGUGGUAACCCGCUUUCGCCUGUGACGAACCGUGAGUGACGGUAAUGGGUAAAGAAGCACCGGCUAACUACGUG